GACGAACGUUGGCGGCGUGCUUAACACAUGCAAGUCGAACGGAAAGGCCCUGCUUUUGUGGGGUGCUCGAGUGGCGAACGGGUGAGUAACACGUGAGUAACCUGCCCUUGACUUUGGGAUAACUUCAGGAAACUGGGGCUAAUACCGGAUAGGAGCUCCUGCUGCAUGGUGGGGGUUGGAAAGUUUCGGCGGUUGGGGAUGGACUCGCGGCUUAUCAGCUUGUUGGUGGGGUAGUGGCUUACCAAGGCUUUGACGGGUAGCUGGCCUGAGAGGGUGACCGGCCACAUUGGGACUGAGAUACGGCCCAGACUCCUACGGGAGGCAGCAGUGGGGAAUAUUGCACAAUGGGCGGAAGCCUGAUGCAGCAACGCCGCGUGCGGGAUGACGGCCUUCGGGUUGUAAACCGCUUUCGCCUGUGACGAAGCGUGAGUGACGGUAAUGGGUAAAGAAGCACCGGCUAACUACGUG
rnacentral:rRNA from 1 species